rnacentral:rRNA from 1 species
CCUACGGGAGGCAGCAGUGAGGAAUAUUGGUCAAUGGGCGAGAGCCUGAACCAGCCAAGUCGCGUGAGGGAAGACGGUCCUAUGGAUUGUAAACCUCUUUUGUCGGGGAGCAAAAAGCGGUACGUGUACCGCAUCGAGAGUACCCGGAGAAAAAGCAUCCGCUAACGCCGGUCCAGCAGCCGCGGUAAUACGGGGGAUGCGAGCGUUAUUCGGAUUUAUUGGGUUUAAAGGGGGCGCAGGCGGCAAGUUAAGUCAGCGGUAAAAUUUCGGGGCUCAACCCCGACGAGCCGUUGAAACUGGCGUGCUAGAGUGGGCGAGAAGUAUGCGGAAUGCGUGGUGUAGCGGUGAAAUGCAUAGAUAUCACGCAGAACCCCGAUUGCGAAGGCAGCAUACCGGCGCCCAACUGACGCUGAGGCACGAAAGCGUGGGUAUCGAACAGGAUUAGAUACCCGAGUAGUC